CAGUAAUGAUGGGUCGGGGAGCUUCCCAUACGGGUGGAAGCAUGACCGUAAGGACAUGUGGACAGUAUGGGAGUGAGAAUGUUGGCCUGAGUAGCGAGAUGUGGGUGAGCAUCCCACAGGCCUUAAACCGAAGGUUUGCAGGGGAAGGUUCGUCCGCCCUGGGUUAGUCGGGACCUAAUCUGAGGACGAAAGGCGUAGGUGAUGGACAACAGGUUGAUAUUCCGGUACUACCGAUAACCGUUUGAGAGAAGGGAUGACACAGUAGGAUAAGCUAAGCACACUGUUGGUUAUGUGUGCCCAAGCAUUGAGGCAGUCAAAGUAGGUAAAUCCGCUUUGAUAAUGCUGGGAUGUGAUGGGGAGCGAAAUUUAGUAGCGAAGUAGCUGAUUUCACACUGUCAAGAAACGUCUCUAUCGAGGUUAAAGGUACCCGUACCGCAAACCGACACAGGGGGGUGAGGAGAGUAUCCUAAGGCCAGCGAGAGAACUGUUGUUAAGGAACUCGGCAACAUGACCCCGUAACUUAGGGAUCAGGGGUGCCACCAUCAGGUGGCCGCAGCGAAU
rnacentral:rRNA from 1 species